GAUGAACGCUGACAGAAUGCUUAACACAUGCAAGUCAACUUGAAUUUGGGUUUUUAACUCAGGGUUGGGUAGAGGACGGGUGAGUAACGCGUAAAGAACUUGCCUCACAGAUAGGGACAACAUUUGGAAACGAAUGCUAAUACCUAAUAUUAUGAUAAUAGGGCAUCCUAUAAUUAUGAAAGCUAUAAGCGCUGUGAGAGAGCUUUGCGUCCCAUUAGCUAGUUGGAGAGGUAACGGCUCACCAAGGCGAUGAUGGGUAGCCGGCCUGAGAGGGUGAUCGGCCACAAGGGGACUGAGACACGGCCCUUACUCCUACGGGAGGCAGCAGUGGGGAAUAUUGGACGAUGGACCGAGAGUCUGAUCCAGCAAUUCUGUGUGCACGAUGAAGUUUUUCGGAAUGUAAAGUGCUUUCAGUUGGGAAGAAACAAAUGACGGUACCAACAGAAGAAGUGACGGCUAAAUACGUG
rnacentral:rRNA from 1 species